AUAGGCAAAUGGUUCAGUGUGUGGCCAUAAUUUUUAGGGUCAUAAGGGUUGCCAAAAACGGUCGCUCUAAGAUUUUGUGUAAUAGAGUAAGAGUAUUUAGACCAAGUAUAUUUGCUUUGAUGAUGCAGUUCUAUGCAAGUGUUUAUACCAAACUGCAUCACGCGAACAGUAAACAAACUCAGAUAGGAAGAAGAAUAUCAAAAACAGUGGAAAGAAAUCAAACAAAAAGUAGCAAUUUCACAGAGGGCAUUUAAAUGGUAUAGAUAUAUAUAAUUUUCUUUUAUUAUUCAUCAAAUGCCUCUACUUCUUUCUGUUUUACAUCAUAAUAAGCAAAUCGCUCAUUAAACAUUUUGUAUGCCUCAGUCUAUUUUCUUUGAUUUUUUGACUUUGGUUUUAAUUUUUUUAGAAUUACAAAACAAAUUGAAAUAAAUUUAAGGUGUCAAAAUUUGCAAGUGAACCAGCUGAUUUUCAUGGAUAUCGCAUUUUUUCGAUAAAUAUACCAAAAUAUUAGCCAAAAUAUGCCGCAUACAAUUUAUUUGUUUUAAUGCAUUCAACAAUUUCAUCUGAUCCCAACCAAAUUGUCAGAAAUUUUAAAGACUGUAGUUAUAACCGUGGCUCUUCUCGUCCAUUUCCCUUCAGUCCUCGCAUUAGCGAAGGAAGCUAAAACAAAUUUUGAAACUUUUCGAACAGUUUCGCUUCGAAAACAGAAUAAACAUCAUUCAUAGAAUGGCACAAAUAACAAUAUUUCCGAUUAAACUAAAUUUGUUGUCAAACUAAAAACUUUAACAAAUCCUCACAACUCAAAACAUCACGCUUUCGGAAAUUAGCCUCCCCGACCAUAACAACCGCAAUAGCCAAAUUUUAAUAGUUAAUCGUGGCUAAAUCCUGCAGGAAGUCGCAAGAUAAUGCUACGGCCAAUAAUAAAAUCAGAACCUAAAAUCUGUAUAAGCACGAUCAGAUUCACUUAACCCAAGGAACCAAGGAAUCAACUAUAAGAAGAAAAAGAAUGUAUUUGCAACCCAGAAAGAAAAUCUAUGCUAGAAAGUCAAAAUCGAGAGGACCCGACAAUAUUCAUUUUUUAAGGAUAAGGUCCUGAUUCCCCAUGUGGAACAGUAGCAAGACCAAAUACUUAUUAAUUAUGUAUUGUUAUAUCCGUGGAGAAACAUUUCCUAGUGAAGACACAACAUAGAUAUAUAAAUUUCGCGCAAAAGUGUAUAAUGAUUAUCUCUGAAACUAGUGCGAAUUUCGCAAUGCUCCACUCGCUUUCCACGUUUGACGGGAUUAUCGGCAUCGAUCUGGUGACCCGGACGACCACAAAAUCUAAUUUUAAGUGUUGUAACCAGAUGUGCAAAAUUUUAAACGUGCGAAAAGCGAUUCGUUUCGCAAGUUCCCUAAAUCUUAAAGUGAUCGUUUUUGGCAACCCUUAUGACCUUAAAUUUAGUACGGAAACGGCGCUUUUUUCUUAAUUUGUGUUUUAGAUUAUUCAUUUAGAUGCUUCUCUUUACUUUGCCGAUAUGAGAGAGGAAUAAUAGGUUCUCUAUUUUUUCGCGUGUGAAAUUGAUGAUUUGAUAUCCACAUACAUUCCAAUAUCGGAGUAUCGAUACGUUUAAAAUUUUAUAGUGGUGGGAACUGCGGAACGAAAUUUAGUUGCAACAAUUUGCAUGGAGUUGUGUGAAAAAAACAGUCGCAUAUGAAUUUAAAUUAUAAGGAAGGAGGUUCUCCAGAAUGUGGCAAACAUAUUCAAAAUUAUGGCAAUGUGUGAAGGUGUUUUCGUAAAAUCUCACAAAGCACUUGCAUAUAACACAAAUGUCGUUUCUAUCCUACGGACUAAACAGCCAAGGCAACAGCAUUUUUGGUUUGAAACGUUAAAUAUGAAUUGGGCAGACUAUUUUCCCGGCAACAAUAAUGAGCAAAUAGGAGUCAUGCAACGAUUACGUACAUUACGUCAUUAGUUUCUCGCAAAACGAAAAGGCGCAUAUUAUAUAGGACUGAAUAUCAGGAAUGAAUAUCACGGGCCACACAUAAUUCUUCCAUACCUGAAGAGACUAAACGUCCAAAAUCUAAGAACUGGGUGCACAGUAAUAAAGAAAGGAUCUACAAAAUCGUCUUCAAUUAUAUCUUCAAUUAUUAUAACCUUUCCUCAAUCUCGACUACAAGUUUCUGGUCUACAGUACUGAUUAUUCAAACUGUGAGAGAGGUAUAAUCUCUGCUAACUCAUAAUUUGUAAAAUUUCCUUUACGGGGCCAGAAAUCCCUUUUUCAGUGAAUUCGAAAACUGACUACUUCAAUUUGUUGGGCUAUUUCUUCGAAUAUUUAUUAACAAAUUCUUAUAAAAAAUAUAACAAAAUAAACUAGUUGAUCUAAUUGAGGAAUAAAUAACAUGUGCUCAGUUAUGCUCUAUAUGAACUUUUUAACACACGCUUAUUUUUAAUACUUGUUCCAAAGACCCUUAUUUCUAAUUACACUAUUUAUUCGAUUUGGCAUACAUUCUACCAAAUUGGGAAUUACUUCUUUUGGAAUAGCUCUCCAUUCUUACCACAACUUGUGCUGUUUUGCUGAAACCGAUUCGUAGAGUCCCAAUUGAUUUUUCACUAUCGAAUAGGAUUGAGAUCAGUCCAUUAACUAAACAUUUUGUUUGCGAUCCAUUCUUUGACGAUUUUGGACGUGUGUUUUGGACCUCUAUCUUGUUGGAAUGUGAUAUCACUCUCCUUAUAUCCACAUUUCUUAACAAAAUCGCAAAGAUGGGUCUGCAGAAUACAAGUAUGUAUAUAUUCCAGGGGUUUGGCUAGUAAAAUAAAUAGUGAAUAAAAGACUGCAGUAAACAAACAAGAGAGGAAGACUAAGGGAACGGGGAACAGAAACGUUAUUUUCUUAGCGCAAUAAUUAUACCGGGAAAAAACAAUUAAAAUUCAUUGCAAAAAAAAAAAAAUAUAUGGUUUUUUAAAUUUCAAAAUAAAUCCGAUACAAUUCUAAAAAUUCCGUGCAGUCUUAUCACUUCUCCCAAUUAGUCUAUUGAACUAAAUAAUUUUAAUUUUG